CAAUAGCGUAUAUUUAAGUUGUUGCAGUUAAAAAGCUCGUAGUUGGAUUUCGGGUGGGACGCAGCGGUCUCGCAUUGCGUUUGUACUGCUGCAGCCCUCCUUCUUGCCGGGGGCGGCCUCUCGGACUUCACUGUCUGGGGGUCAGAAUCGGCGAUGUUACUUUGAGUAAAUUAGAGUGUUCAAAGCAAGCUUACGCUCUGAAUAUAAUAGCAUGGGAUAACACGACAGGACUCUGGCCUAUCGUGUUGGUCUAUAGGACCAGAGUAAUGAUUAAGAGGGAUAGUCGGGGGCAUUCGUAUUCCGUUGUCAGAGGUGAAAUUCUUGGAUUUACGGAAGACGAACAUCUGCGAAAGCAUUUGCCAAGGAUGUUUNCAUUGA
rnacentral:rRNA from 1 species